GGGCCGUUAGCUCAGUCUGGCAGAGCAGGGGCCUUUUAAGCCCUUUGUCGCAGGUUCGAAUCCUGCACGGCUCA
rnacentral:tRNA from 1 species